rnacentral:rRNA from 1 species
GAUGAACGCUGGCGGCGUGCCUAAUACAUGCAAGUCGAGCGAACAGACGAGGAGCUUGCUCCUCUGACGUUAGCGGCGGACGGGUGAGUAACACGUGGAUAACCUACCUAUAAGACUGGGAUAACUUCGGGAAACCGGAGCUAAUACCGGAUAAUAUAUUGAACCGCAUGGUUCAAUAGUGAAAGACGGUUUUGCUGUCACUUAUAGAUGGAUCCGCGCCGCAUUAGCUAGUUGGUAAGGUAACGGCUUACCAAGGCAACGAUGCGUAGCCGACCUGAGAGAGUGAUCGGCCACACUGGAACGGAGACACGGUCCAGACUCCUACGAGAGGCAGCAGUAGGGAAUCUUCCGCAAUGGGCGAAAGCUUGACGGAGCAACGCCGCGUGAGUGAUGAAGGUCUUCGGAUCGUAAAACUCUGUUAUUAGGGAAGAACAAAUGUGUAAGUAACUAUGCACGUCUUGACGGUACCUAAUCAGAAAGCCACGGCUAACUACGUG